rnacentral:rRNA from 1 species
GACGAACGCUGGCGGCGUGCUUAACACAUGCAAGUCGAACGGGUCUGCCCUGUUUUUUGCGGGGUGGGUCAGUGGCGAACGGGUGAGUAACACGUGAGUAACCUGCCCCUCACUUCUGGAUAACCGCUUGAAAGGGUGGCUAAUACGGGGUGUUCUGGCUGUGCCGCAUGGUGUGGCUGGGAAAGAUUCACUUUUGUGGUGUUUUGGUGGGGGAUGGGCUCGCGGCCUAUCAGCUUGUUGGUGGGGUGAUGGCCUGCCAAGGCUUUGACGGGUAGCCGGCGUGGGAGGGUGGGCGGUCACAGUGGGACGGAGAUACGGCCCAGACUCGUGCGGGAGGCAGCAGUGGGGGGUAUUGCAUAAUGGGCGGAAGCCUGAUGCAGCGACGUCGCGUGAGGGAUGGAGGCCUUCGGGUUGUGAACCUCUUUCGCCGGUGAAGAAGGUCCUGCUCUUUGUGGUGGGGUUGACGGUAGCCGGGUUAUGAAGCGCCGGCUAACUACGUG